CGAAAGGCGUAGUCGAUGGGAAACAGGUUAAUAUUCCUGUACUUGGUGUUACUGCGAAGGGGGGACGGAGAAGGCUAUGUUGGCCGGGCGACGGUUGUCCCGGUUUAAGCGUGUAGGCUGGUUUUCCAGGCAAAUCCGGAAAAUCAAGGCUGAGGCGUGAUGACGAGGCACUACGGUGCUGAAGCAACAAAUGCCCUGCUUCCAGGAAAAGCCUCUAAGCAUCAGGUAACAUCAAAUCGUACCCCAAACCGACACAGGUGGUCAGGUAGAGAAUACCAAGGCGCUUGAGAGAACUCGGGUGAAGGAACUAGGCAAAAUGGUGCCGUAACUUCGGGAGAAGG
rnacentral:rRNA from 1 species